rnacentral:rRNA from 1 species
UACGGAGGAUCCGAGCGUUAUCCGGAUUUAUUGGGUUUAAAGGGUGCGUAGGCGGCCAUUUAAGUCAGCGGUGAAAUUUUGCAGCUUAACUGUAACAGUGCCGUUGAUGCUGUUUGGCUAGGAUUUGGUUGUAGUGUGCGGAAUGUGUGGUGUAGCGGUGAAAUGCUUAGAUAUCACACAGAACACCGAUUGCGAAGGCAGCACACUAAGUCAUUAUUGACGCUGAGGCACGAAAGUGUGGGGAUCAAACAGGAUUA